UCCGGCUUGUCACCGGCGGUCUCUCCAGAGUGCCCGGCCCUACCCGAUGGCAACUGAAGAUAAGGGUUGCGCUCGUUGCGGGACUUAACCCAACAUCUCACGACACGAGCUGACGACAACCAUGCACCACCUGUGCAGGACCCUUGCGGACCUCCCAUCUCUGGAAGAUUUCCCUGCAUGUCAAGCCUUGGUAAGGUUCUUCGCGUUGCGUCGAAUUAAGCCACAUGCUCCGCUGCUUGUGCGGGCCCCCGUCAAUUCCUUUGAGUUUUAGCCUUGCGGCCGUACUCCCCAGGCGGGGUGCUUAAUGCGUUAGCUACGGCACGGAGGGAGUGGACAACCCCCCACACCUAGCACCCAUCGUUUACGGCGUGGACUAC
rnacentral:misc_RNA from 1 species